rnacentral:rRNA from 1 species
UACAGAGGGUGCGAGCGUUAAUCGGAAUUACUGGGCGUAAAGCGCGCGUAGGCGGUUUUUCAAGUCGGAUGUGAAAUCCCCAGGCUCAACCUGGGAACUGCAUUCGAGACUGGAUUACUAGAGUAUGGGAGAGGGAAGUGGAAUUUCCGGUGUAGCGGUGAAAUGCGUAGAUAUCGGAAGGAACAUCAGUGGCGAAAGCGACUUCCUGGACCAAUACUGACGCUCAUGUGCGAAAGCGUGGGGAGCAAACAGG